CUGGCUCAGGAUGAACGCUAGCUACAGGCUUAACACAUGCAAGUCGAGGGGCAGCAUGAUCGAAGCUGCUUGAUGAUGGCGACCGGCGCACGGGUGAGUAACGCGUAUCCAACCUUCCCUAUAGUAGAGGAUAGCCCGGCGAAAGUCGGAUUAAUACUCUAUGUUUUCCAAUGCAGACAUCUAAGUUGGAACAAAGGUCCACCGCUAUAGGAUGGGGAUGCGUCUGAUUAGGUAGUCGGCGGGGUAACGGCCCACCGAGCCAACGAUCAGUAGGGGUUCUGAGAGGAAGGUCCCCCACAUUGGAACUGAGACACGGUCCAAACUCCUACGGGAGGCAGCAGUGAGGAAUAUUGGUCAAUGGGCGAGAGCCUGAACCAGACCCAAGUAGCGUGCAGGAUGACCGGCCCUAUGGGUUGUAAACUGUCUUUUAGUACGGGGAUAAAGUGAGGGACGUGUCCCUUUUUGUAGGUACCGUAUGAAUAAGGACCGGCUAAUUCCGUGCCAGCCGCCGC
rnacentral:rRNA from 1 species